GUGGGGAAUAUUGGACAAUGGGCGCAAGCCUGAUCCAGCAAUGCCGCGUGCAGGAAGAAGGCCUUCGGGUUGUAAACUGCUUUUGUAGGGGAGGAAACGGCGCUGGUUAAUACCUGCGGCCAAUGACGGUACCGUAAGAAUAAGCACCGGCUAACUACGUGCCAGCAGCCGCGGUAAUACGUAGGGUGCGAGCGUUAAUCGGAAUUACUGGGCGUAAAGCGUGCGCAGGCGGUGCUGUAAGACAGAUGUGAAAUCCCCGGGCUCAACCUGGGAAUUGCGCUUGAGACUGGAGUGCUGGAGUACGGCAGAGGGGGAUGGAAUUCCGCGUGUAGCAGUGAAAUGCGUAGAUAUGCGGAGGAACACCGGUGGCGAAGGCAGUCCCCUGGACCUAUACUGACGCUCAGGCGCGAAAGCGUGGGGAGCAAACAGGAUUAGAUACCCUGGUAGUCC
rnacentral:rRNA from 1 species